rnacentral:lncRNA from 1 species
AAAAUAAAAUAUUCCCGGUUCUAGGUUUGAACUUGGUACUGUUGGUAUCCAAGUUGUUUCUUUCUGUUCCAACGACUAGACGAUCACGGCUAUGAACAGAUUACAGGACAUAUUUUAAAAUUGACAUACUUAUAUAUUGUACAUUUGUAGCAUGAGCAAUUCUGAUUGGGUUUCAGAAUGCGUACCACAAAUAUUACCAGUUUAUUUACUGAUUGAAGAUGGAUGCCAAAUGUAAUAACGUUGAAAUAAUCUAAACAUAAUGAAAGCGAACCAGAUUACACAAUAUUUAUAUAUUAUUGUUCAAUGAAGACCGAUCAAUGUACUUAUU